rnacentral:rRNA from 1 species
UGGGGAAUAUUGGACAAUGGGCGCAAGCCUGAUCCAGCAAUGCCGCGUGUGUGAAGAAGGCCUGCGGGUUGUAAAGCACUUUAAGCGGGAAAGAAGGCCUCAAGGCUAAUAUCCUUGGGGAUUGACGUUACCCGCAGAAUAAGCACCGGCUAACUCCGUGCCAGCAGCCGCGGUAAUACGGAGGGUGCGAGCGUUAAUCGGAAUUACUGGGCGUAAAGCGCGCGUAGGCGGUUCGUUAAGUCAGCCGUGAAAGCCCCGGGCUUAACCUGGGAACUGCGGAUGAUACUGGCGGACUAGAGUGUGGCAGAGGGUGGCGGAAUUUCCGGUGUAGCAGUGAAAUGCGUAGAGAUCGGAAGGAACACCAGUGGCGAAGGCGGCCAUCUGGGCCAACACUGACGCU